UAACCCAACAGACUUAUAUAUCUAGCUUUAAUCUAAAUACUUAGUAGUUACCUGCACCUUGAUGUGCCAUAGGUAUCUCAGUUUCCAAAACUGUAUCCAUUAUUUCCCUCCAAACUGGUUUUUCCUAGCGCUCUCACAGGGAAUGAUAACAUCAUGUACCUAGUCUUAUCCAGAAAUCUUGAAGGCAUCCUAGACUUUUGUUUCUUUUCCCCCUGAAUCUUACACACAAAAAAUACCCAAAUCCUUCUAAAAAAAUGCCCACAAUCCUUCUGAUAUACUCUCCUUUUAUCUUGUGUCUCUGCCCUGCUUCCUAGCUCCACUGCCCCUAUUUAGGUUCUUUUGGGACCUUAUCAUUAUUUGCCUGUACUACUACACUAUUGCACUAUUGUCUUACCUGGCUUCCUUGGUCCUAGUCUGGCCCUUCCUCCUUGAAUUCACUUUCCAUCUGAUUCCCUUUUGUAUCUCUGGCAUUACCACAGUGAUUAGCACAUGCCAGGCAAAUCAGGUAUUUUUAUUGGAUGAAUUCAUAUAUGGAUGAACGUUCACACAUGUGGGUCUUAUGAGAGGCACUAUUGUAAUGUUCCUUUCUAAUAACGGAAUAAUUAUAUCUAUACUCAUUUAUGCACUGUCAUGAUUAGGGCAAGUAUUUGUGUAGAGUAAUAAGUAAUGAAAUACUGUUUCCCAGAUUCUGAGCUUUUAUUUUUUUUCUUUUCUAAUCUUUCCUAUGGGCAGCCACUUGAGGAGAAGACCAGAGAACUCACUUCUCACAUCAUUGUUAGAAGAAACCCCAAGAGAGGCCUAAAGAGGAGAGAAGGAGAAGGAGGUGGAGAUGAGGAGCCUUACAGCAGCUGUGAAUCCACUAACANUCCAAGAGAGGCCUAAAGAGGAGGAGAGGCCUAAGGAGAAGGAGGUGGAGAUGAGGAGCCUUACAGCAGCUGUGAAUCCACUAACAGCCUGGAGGUGGGAGGCAUAUUGCAUCUCUUACUUCCUUUUGGCCAAAGGACAAGAGGAAAUAAAAAGGAAAGGAAGCUACCUUUCCAGCAACUACCAUCUGUAACAAAAGGAGAGAUUUUAUGGAAGAAGAUUUAAGAAGAACAUUAGGUAGGCAUUUGUUCAUGCUAGCAGUACUUGACAUUUUACAGGUUCUAAUUCAUUGAGUCCUCAUAUCAAUGCUACAUGUAGGUUUUUUUAUUCCUCUUUUACAGUUGGGGUAAUCAAGUCUCUGAGAAGGUAAGUUACCUAUGCAAGGUCACACCAUGAAUAAAUGCAGAACCGAGAUCUAAACUCA
rnacentral:lncRNA from 1 species